GGAAGGGUGGCAGAGUCAGGUUUAAUGCAACGGUCUUGAAAACCGUCGGGCGGUAACACGUCCCCAGGGUUCGAAUCCCUGUCCUUCCG
rnacentral:tRNA from 1 species